CAUAAGCGUGCUUAACUGCGAGACUGACAAGUCGAGCAGGUACGAAAGUAGGACAUAGUGAUCCGGUGGUUCUGUAUGGAAGGGCCAUCGCUCAACGGAUAAAAGGUACUCUGGGGAUAACAGGCUGAUUCCUCCAAGAGUUCAUAUCGACGGGGGAGUUUGGCACCUCGAUGUCGGCUCAUCACAUCCUGGGGCUGUAGCCGGUCCCAAGGGUAUGGCUGUUCGCCAUUUAAAGUGGUACGUGAGCUGGGUUUAAAACGUCGUGAGACAGUUUGGUCCCUAUCUGCCGUGGGCGUUGGAAAUUUGAAGGGGGCUGCUCCUAGUACGAGAGGACCGGAGUGGACGAACCUCUGGUGUACCGGUUGUCACGCCAGUGGCAUUGCCGGGUAGCUAAGUUCGGAAGAGAUAACCGCUGAAAGCAUCUAAGCGGGAAACUUGCCUUGAGAUGAUAUUUCCCGGGAACUAGAUUCCCCUAAAGGGUCGUUCGAGACCAGGACGUUGAUAGGCUGGGUGUGGAAGCGUAGUAAUACGUUAAGCUAACCAGUACUAAUUGCCCGUGCGGCUUGUCCCUAUAACCUUAGCAGGUUAUAU
rnacentral:rRNA from 1 species